UAGCAUCAGAAUUCAAAGAGCAUUUCGAGCUGCAGGAAAUGCCAAAACCAAUUCUGGUCUCAAUCCAGUUUGCUUUAAGACCAAAAAGCAUAUCAGAAUACAAUGGAGGGAAAGUUCUCAGUAUGAAUGGAAACUUCACCAACUAGCUGACUACAAAACUUUGGAGGAAAAAAUAGAGUACACUGCUUUAUUUUCUUGUUCUGUUCACAAGGUUCAUAGCAAUUAUACAAUAAGGUUAAAGAAAAUAUCAUAUGCACCACUUGAUGGUAGCGGAACACUUUCCCUUUCCACCUCUAGCUAGCAUGAAUCAGAAAACCAAAUAAAACAUUAAGAGCUACUCGAUGCAAACACAAAAUUUUCCAACAUUAGAUGACAGCAACUUUCUUUCCCUGUUAAACAAUGCUAAUCCUUUCUAUCUUGUGCACAAGCACACAGAUCAUCCACUGCCAGCUGCAUUUGAGGAUCCUUGACUAGUAGAACUCAGCAAUUCUUUUACAUGAUUCUCAACUUGUUUUCUAACAAAAGAAUAAGGACAUCGUUCAAUCACUUCAGCUCCGAAGGAAAAUACCAGAGCUUUUCUAGCCAUCUCUAAAUCAAUACCACGUGCUUGAAAGUAGAAGAGCUGACUUUCUUCUAGAUCACUUAUUGCAGCUCCAUGGGAGCACUUUACAUCAUCUGCUAUAAUUUGCAAAUUGGGUUUGACAUUUACAGUUGCACGUGGUUCUAGAAGGAGGCUCCUUGUUAAUUGUCCAGCAUCUGUCUGUUGUGCAUAUCUGUUGACCUUUACAUUCCCAUCAAAGACAGCUUGUCCUUGUGAAUGAGCAACAAUGCACUUGUGAAGUUGUCUCGAGUAAGCCCGAGGAUGAUCCAAGACAAGCCUACUAUGCAGGUCUUGUGUUUGCCCACCGAGAGACAAAUGAAAUGUUGAUAACUCUGUUGAUGUAUCUGGGCCCAGCUGCUGAAGAUGGAAAUUGUGCCUGCUCAAUUUUCCGCCAGUGCUUACCUCAACAAGCUCAUAGGUGCUAGUAGAUUUCUGUUGAACCGAAGUCCACUUGAUAUGGGCAGAAUUUAAGGAUUGGCUCUGUAUAUAGGAAUGCCUGACCUUUGCUCCUUCUUCAAUCAUCACUUCCAAGACAGAAUUUGCCCAAUAACAUUUAUCAUUGCUCCCUACAUUUGUAAACUCCUCAAUUAUCCCAACCUCUCCUCCUUCCUCCACCACCACAAGCACCCUUGGAUUUGAAACUGGCAACUUGUUAGAUCCCUCCUCCCCUCCCUCAACUGAAACAUAACUCAAAUGGAUUGGAUUCUCUACUCUAACCCCUGCAGGAACAUAAACCACGGCCACAUCGGGUGCCCCUAAUCCAUUAAUGGACCAAAACAAAUCACCCCAUUGGAAAUCAUCAGAAAAUUUGGUUAAUGUUUGGGCGAUUUUAUCUUUAGGGUCAUUUAACAAGCUACCUACAUAAACCCCAUGUGGCAAAUUUGAAGAAUUUGACAAAGAAUUUAAGAUAAACCCAUCAACAAUAACAAUAUUGGGUAAGUGGCUAUCGUUUGAAAUGUUUGUUAGGUGGUACGAGGAUGGUGGCUUAGAGAUUGGAUGGAUUUGAGAUUGCUUGAUAAAUGAAGUGUCUGUGAACCGAAAAGGCUCAUCUUUGCGAGAGGGCCAAGGGAUGGAGAGAAGGGAUUCAGCGGAAGAGUCCCUGAGUUUCUGGAGAGAGGGCGAGGGAGAGGGAGAGAGGGAAUCUUCAAAGGUCUCAGCAAGUUGGAGAACGAAGGGGUCAGAGAAACUGGCUUGUAUUACUGGAGUUCUGAUGAGUGAAACGCUAGUUUUGAUUCUGUGUUUUGGUUUAGGUUUGAGUCUGGAUGUUAUUGUAGUGGAUGUGUGAAUUUGGGGUGCAAAAACUGAGGCAGACAUGGAUGUUAUUGCAGGUUAAGGUAAUAGAGAAAGAUAUUGAAAUUAGUUAUGAAGUUGUAACAGCAAAUCACUCCUCUGAAUGGCUUUUUAGGUUAGGGUUCUUCCUCUGUUGCUCUGGGCUUGUGGUCUCUAUUGCCACAACUACUCAACACAUAUACACUUUGAAGAGGGCUUAAAGUCUUAAACAAUCAAUGAUCAAUUCUUAUCACUGGGGCUGUCUGGUGUCAUUUCAGCAGUUUUACUAAUUGACAAGGGGCCAAAAGCGAUCAAAAUAGACCUGAAUAUAACGUUCCUUCAAAGGUGAUCAAAUUGUUGCAGCUACCGGAGAGGUAGCUUAAGACUGACCUGCGGGUCCUUGAGGUAGCAGAAGGUUGCCCAAGAAUGAAACUUUAAAGCCGUAGAAGCUUCCUUCAAUCUGUCAAUUCCCUAAACUGCAGAAAGAAAUUGCUUUCAACUGGAGUUUGUAGUUACCCCAGAAAAUAGUCAACUUAUGGGAGAGAGAGGAUGGCCUCUUUGUUCUCUUCAUGAGAAGUUGAGAUUGAGAUUGAAAGAAAAAACAAAAAAUAAUAAUAAAUAAAAUAAAAUAAAAUUACUGCAGAACCAGUUCUCGAGGUAGUAAAGGUAUUAUAUAGGCUACAGGAUAAGAAUAGAGAUCACACAAUAAAUGUAUGACUGCAAUUUUCUGAGUUCCUUUCUAACUUCAUAUCGUUCAAAACAAUAGUAUAAUCUAA
rnacentral:misc_RNA from 1 species